GAUGAACGCUGGCGGCGUGCCUAAUACAUGCAAGUCGAGCGAACGGACGAGAAGCUUGCUCUUCUGAUGUUAGCGGCGGACGGGUGAGUAACACGUGGAUAACCUACCUAUAAGACUGGGAUAACUUCGGGAAACCGGAGCUAAUACUGCAUAAUAUUUUGUACCGCAUGGUUCAAAAGUGAAAGACGGUCUUGCUGUCACUUAUAGAUGGUUCCGCGCUGCAUUAGCUAGUUGGUAAGGUAACGGCUUACCAAGGCAACGAUGCGUAUCCGACCUGAGAGGGUGAUCAGCCACACUGGAACUGAGACACGGUCCAGACUCCUACGGGAGGCAGCAGUGGGGAAUAUUCGGCAAUGGGCGAAAGCCUGACGGAGCAACGCCGCGUGAGUGAUGAAGGUCUUCGGGUCGUAAAACUCUGUUAUUGGGGAAGAAAAGAUGUGUGAGUAACUGUGCACAUCUUGACGGUACCUAAUCAAAAAGCCACGGCUAACUACGUG
rnacentral:rRNA from 1 species